rnacentral:piRNA from 1 species
ACCAUCGGCAAGGAGAUCAUUGA